rnacentral:rRNA from 1 species
CAGUAGCCGCGGGAAUACAGAGGCCUCAAGCGUUGUUCGGAUUCAUUGGGCGUAAAGGGCUCGCAGGCGGUUUCUUAAGUCUGAUGUGAAAGCCCCCGGCUCAACCGGGGAGGGUCAUUGGAAACUGGGAAACUUGAGUGCAGAAGAGGAGAGUGGAAUUCCACGUGUAGCGGUGAAAUGCGUAGAGAUGUGGAGGAACACCAGUGGCGAAGGCGACUCUCUGGUCUGUAACUGACGCUGAGGAGCGAAAGCGUGGGGAGCGAACAGGAUUAGAUACCCCGGUAGUCCCUGUCUCUUAUAA